rnacentral:rRNA from 1 species
GUUGUAGUCUGGAGAAGUGCUUUCCGUGCCGGACCGUGUAUAAGUCUCUUGGAAUAGAGCGUCAUAGAGGGUGAGAAUCCCGUCUUUGACACGGACUGCCGGUGCUUUGUGAUGCGCUCUCAAAGAGUCGAGUUGUUUGGGAAUGCAGCUCAAAAUGGGUGGUAAAUUCCAUCUAAAGCUAAAUAUUGGCGAGAGACCGAUAGCGAACAAGUACCAUGAGGGAAAGAUGAAAAGCACUUUGGAAAGAGAGUUAAACAGUACGUGAAAUUGCUGAAAGGGAAACGCUUGAAGUCAGUCUCGUCGUGCAGAACUCAACCUAGCUUUUGCUUGGUGCACUUUCUGUAUGACGGGCCAGCAUCGAUUUUGACUGUCGGAAAAGGGCUGAAGGAAUGUGGCACCUCCGGGUGUGUUAUAGCCUUCGGUCGUAUACGGCGGUUGGGAUCGAGGAACGCAGCGCGCCGCAAGGUGGGGCUUCGGCCUACAUUCGCGCUUAGGAUGCUGGCGUAAUGGCUUUAAACGACCCGUCUUGAAACACGGACCAAGGAGUCUAACAUGCCUGCGAGUGUUUGGGUGGAAA